GCUUGCUUUGGCAACACAUAGACUAAAAUUAGAACCGUACAAGGAAGAUUAGCAUGGCGCCUGCGCAAGGAUGACACGCAAAUUCACGAAGCAUUCCAAUUCCAA